CAACCUGUGGGCUGGCGGACGCGCCUGACCCCAUGAGCCACUCCACCUCCAGACCAAGGGAGGCCAGGUCGCCAGCCACGGAGCAGAUAACUGUGACGGUAAGACAGAGAAGGCAGCGAUGACCAGAGACCUUGACCUCAUACCCCAUACCCAGCAGUUAUUGUGAUGCUUCCCUAAACAAUGAAGCCACUUCCUUCACUACAUCUGAGAGAGUCUGAAUGGAGAGGACACCCAGAAAGAGCUGAAGUCUGAAGUGACUUCCCUUCAAACUGGACGUCCACAAAACACUCCCACAACACUCUUCUAGAAAAUGAAUUGGAGUCUUUCCAUGUAAAAACGAAAUGCUGGUGUGUUUUAUAACACAGUAGAUGUGCUUCUUGUUUGGUUACUUUUUUGAUCAUUUCAAGCAAUAAAACCACCCACUGAUGAUGCA